rnacentral:rRNA from 1 species
GAUGAACGCUGGCGGCGUGCCUAAUACAUGCAAGUCGAGCGAACAGACGAGGAGCUUGCUCCUCUGACGUUAGCGGCGGACGGGUGAGUAACACGUGGAUAACCUACCUAUAAGACUGGGAUAACUUCGGGAAACCGGAGCUAAUACCGGAUAAUAUAUUGAACCGCAUGGUUCAAUAGUGAAAGACGGUUUUGCUGUCACUUAUAGAUGGAUCCGCGCCGCAUUAGCUAGUUGGUAAGGUAACGGCUUACCAAGGCAACGAUGCGUAGCCGACCUGAGAGGCUGAUCGGCCACACUGGAACUGAGACACGGUCCAGACUCCUACGGGAGGCAGCAGUAGGGAAUCUUCCGCAAUGGGCGAAAGCCUGACGGAGCAACGCCGCGUGAGUGAUGAAGGUCUUCGGAUCGUAAAACUCUGUUAUUAGGGAAGAACAAAUGUGUAAGUAACUAUGCACGUCUUGACGGUACCUAAUCAGAAAGCCACGGCUAACUACGUG